UCGAUUCUGUUCUUAAUUGAAUGGAGUAGCUAUCUCUCGGGGUGGUCAAUUGGUUGUUAUAUCUCCACUAAUAAGCAGAGAGGGGUAAAACCUUCAAAGUGAGUUAUGUGGGUCAAGGUAUGAUGAUUAAUUGGAGUUCUAGUUCAUUUACUUUGAGAAAAUUAGAGUGUUUAAAGCAGCCUCUUGGGGCACUGAAUACAUUAGCAUGGGAUAAUAAAAUAGGAUCUUCACAAUAUAUUUUAUUGGUUUAAAUUGCGUAUGAAGAUAAUGAUUAAUAGGGACAGUUGGGGGUAGUUCAUAUUGGUGGUUAGCGGUGAAAUGCUCGGAUCCAUUCAAGAUGAACUAAAGCGAAGGCAUUUUACCAAGGAUGUUUUCAUUAAUCAAGAACGAAAGUUAAGGGAUCGAAGACGAUUAGAUACCGUCGUAGUCUUAACUAUAAACU
rnacentral:rRNA from 1 species